UACGUAGGGGGCGAGCGUUGUCCGAAGUUACUGGGCGUAAAGCGCGCGUAGGCGGUCAUUUAAGUCUGAGGUGAAAGGUUCAGCGCUCAACGUGAACAGUGCCUUGGAUACUGGGUGACUUGAGUUCGGGAGGGGGCAGUGGAAUUCCAGGUGUAGCGGUGAAAUGCGUAGAUAUCUGGAGGAACACCGAUGGCGAAGGCGGCAUCCUGGACCGACACUGACGCUGAGGAGCGAAAGCCAGGGGAGCAAACGGG
rnacentral:rRNA from 1 species